GUCGGUGAUCAUUGAGAUGAGGUCACACCUGUUCCCAUGCCGAACACAGAAGUUAAGCUCAUCUUCGCUGAAAAUACUCGGCGGGCGACCGCCCGGGAAAAUAAGUUGUCGCCGACA
rfam:Ruminococcus albus 8 contig00025, whole genome shotgun sequence.